UGCGUAGGCGGUCUUUCAAGUCCGUUGUGAAAGCCCCGGGCUCAACCUGGGAAUGGCAGUGGAAACUAGAAGACUUGAAUCUGGCAGAGGGGGGUGGAAUUCCACGUGUAGCAGUGAAAUGCGUAGAGAUGUGGAGGAACACCGAUGGCGAAGGCAGCCCCCUGGGCUGAGAUUGACGCUCAGGCACGAAAGCGUGGGAGCAAACA
rnacentral:rRNA from 1 species